rnacentral:lncRNA from 1 species
AAUCUGCCAGCUGAGGAGGUGUUCCUGGAUCCCUUGAUGCCCGUGAGGAUGUGCAGAGAGGUUUCAGGUCAGUAGGGUGGAGCAACCCCG